rnacentral:rRNA from 1 species
UACGUAGGGUGCAAGCGUUGUCCGGAAUUAUUGGGCGUAAAGAGCUCGUAGGCGGUUUGUCGCGUCUGCUGUGAAAACUCGGGGCUUAACCCCGGGCCUGCAGUGGGUACGGGCAGACUAGAGUGCGGUAGGGGAGACUGGAAUUCCUGGUGUAGCGGUGAAAUGCGCAGAUAUCAGGAGGAACACCGGUGGCGAAAGCGCUCUGCUAGGCCGUAACUGACACUGAGGGACGAAAGCUAGGGGAGCGAAUGGG